AGUGAACGCUGGCGGUAGGCCUAACACAUGCAAGUCGAACGGCAGCACAGAGGAGCUUGCUCCUUGGGUGGCGAGUGGCGGACGGGUGAGGAAUACAUCGGAAUCUACUCUGUCGUGGGGGAUAACGUAGGGAAACUUACGCUAAUACCGCAUACGACCUACGGGUGAAAGCAGGGGAUCUUCGGACCUUGCGCGAUUGAAUGAGCCGAUGUCGGAUUAGCUAGUUGGCGGGGUAAAGGCCCACCAAGGCGACGAUCCGUAGCUGGUCUGAGAGGAUGGUCAGCCACACUGGAACGGAGACACGGUCCAGACUCCUACGGGAGGCAGCAGUGGGGAAUAUUGGACAAUGGGCGCAAGCCUGAUCCAGCCAUACCGCGUGGGUGAAGGAGGCCUUCGGGUUGUAAAGCCCUUUUGUUGGGAAAGAAAUCCAUCUGGUUAAUACCCGGGUGGGAUGGCGGUACCCAAAGAAUAAGCACCGGCUAACUUCGUGCCAGCCGCCGCCGUAA
rnacentral:rRNA from 1 species